rnacentral:rRNA from 1 species
AUUGAACGCUGGCGGCAGGCCUAACACAUGCAAGUCGAGCGGAUGAAGGGAGCUUGCUCCUGGAUUCAGCGGCGUACGGGUGAGUAAUGCCUAGGAAUCUGCCUGGUAGUGGGGGAUAACGUCCGGAAACGGGCGCUAAUACCGCAUACGUCCUGAGGGAGAAAGUGGGGGAUCUUCGGACCUCACGCUAUCAGAUGAUCCUAGGUCGGAUUAGCUAGUUGGUGGGGUAAAGGCCUACCAAGGCGACGAUCCGUAACUGGUCUGAGAGGAUGAUCAGUCACACUGGAACUGGGACACGGUCAAGACUCCUACGGGAGGCAGCAGUGGGGAAUAUUGGACAAUGGGCGAAAGCCUGAUCCAGCCAUGCCGCGUGUGUGAAGAAGGUCUUCGGAUUGUAAAGCACUUUAAGUGGGGAGGAAGGGCAGUAAGUUAAUACCUUGCUGUUUUGACGUUACCAACAGAAUAAGCACCGGCUAACUUCGUG